CCGGAUUGGCGGUGGGGAGCCGGCAACGGCACCCUUUUGCUGAGAAGCUGAUCAAACUUGGUCAUUUAGAGGAAGUAAAAGUCGUAACAAGGUUUCCGUAGGUGAACCUGCGGAAGGAUCAUUAACGAAUAAUCAUGGUGGGUUGUAGCUGGCUCCUCGGAGCAAUGUGCACGCCCGCCAUUUUUAUCUAUCCACCUGUGCACCGACUGUAGGUCUGGAUGACUCUCGCCUCACGGCGGAUGCGGGGAUUGGCCUUCACGGGCCUCUCCUCGAAUAUCCAGGCUCUACGUCUUUUACACACCCCAAUAGUAUGAUAUAGAAUGUAGUCAAUGGGCUUCUUAGCCUAUAAAACACUAUACAACUUUCAGCAACGGAUCUCUUGGCUCUCGCAUCGAUGAAGAACGCAGCGAAAUGCGAUAAGUAAUGUGAAUUGCAGAAUUCAGUGAAUCAUCGAAUCUUUGAACGCACCUUGCGCUCCUUGGUAUUCCGAGGAGCAUGCCUGUUUGAGUGUCAUUAAAUUCUCAACCUCACCAGUUUUCUGAACUGUUCUUCGAGGCUUGGAUGUGGGGGUUUGUGCAGGCUGCCUCAGCGCGGUCUGCUCCCCUGAAAUGCAUUAGCGAGUUCUAUACUGAGCUCCGUCUAUUGGUGUGAUAAUUAUCUACGCCGUUGGUCGGGUUCAGACUUGCUUCUAACCGUCCGCAAGGACAACUCUUUUGACAAUUUGACCUCAAAUCAGGUAGGACUACCCGCUGAACUUAAGCAUAUCAAUAAGCGGAGGAAAAGAAACUAACAAGGAUUCCCCUAGUAACUGCGAGUGAAGCGGGAAGAGCUCAAAUUUAAAAUCUGAUGCGCCUCUGGCCGUCCGAGUUGUAGUCUGGAGAAGCGUUUUCCGUGUUGGACCGUGUAUAAGUCUCUUGGAAC
rnacentral:rRNA from 1 species